AUACAGAGGGUGCAAGCGUUAUUCGGAAUUACUGGGCGUAAAGCGCGCGUAGGCGGAUGAUUAAGUCAGUUGUGAAAGCCCUGGGCUCAACCUAGGAACUGCAUCUGAUACUGGUCGUCUAGAGUUUAAGAGAGGGAAGUGGAAUUCCAGGUGUAGCAGUGAAAUGCGUAGAUAUCUGGAGGAACAUCAGUGGCGAAGGCGACUUCCUGGCUUAAUACUGACGCUGAGGUGCGAAAGCGUGGGUAGCGAACGGGAUUAGAAACCCUAGUAGUCC
rnacentral:rRNA from 1 species